rnacentral:rRNA from 1 species
UACGUAGGUGGCAAGCGUUGUUCGGAAUUAUUGGGCGUAAAGGGUGAGUAGGCGGUUUGUUAGGUCGGUCGUGAAAGCCCGGGGCUCAACCCCGGAGGGUCGACCGAUACUGGCAGGCUAGAGUACAGAAGAGGUAACUGGAAUUCCCGGUGUAGAGGUGAAAUUCGUAGAUAUCGGGAGGAACACCAGUGGCGAAGGCGGCUCACUGGACCGGAACUGACGCUGAGGCGCGAAAGCGUGGGGAGCAAACAGG